rnacentral:rRNA from 1 species
UGGACUCUGNNNGCCAUGCCUUUCACUAUGCUNGUCGAACGGCAGCACGGGUGCUUGCACCUGGUGGCGAGUGGCGAACGGGUGAGUAAUACAUCGGAACAUGUCCUGUAGUGGGGGAUAGCCCGGCGAAAGCCGGAUUAAUACCGCAUACGAUCUACGGAUGAAAGCGGGGGACCUUCGGGCCUCGCGCUAUAGGGUUGGCCGAUGGCUGAUUAGCUAGUUGGUGGGGUAAAGGCCCACCAAGGCGACGAUCAGUAGCUGGUCUGAGAGGACGACCAGCCACACUGGGACUGAGACACGGCCCAGACUCCUACGGGAGGCAGCAGUGGGGAAUUUUGGACAAUGGGCGAAAGCCUGAUCCAGCAAUGCCGCGUGUGUGAAGAAGGCCUUCGGGUUGUAAAGCACUUUUGUCCGGAAAGAAAUCCUGAGGGCUAAUAUCCUUCGGGGAUGACGGUACCGGAAGAAUAAGCACCGGCUAACUACGUGCCAGCAGCCGCGGUAAUACNUAGGGUGCGAGCGUUNAUCGGAAUUACUGGGCGUAAAGCGUGCGCAGGCGGUUUGUUAANACCGAUGUGAAAUCCCCGGGCUCACCUGGGAACUGCAUUGGUGACUGGCAACCUAGAGUAUGGCAAAGGGGGG